CUUGGUCAUUUAGAGGAAGUAAAAGUCGUAACAAGGUCUCCGUUGGUGAACCAGCGGAGGGAUCAUUACCGAGUUUACAACUCCAAACCCCAUGUGAACCUUACCAUCCUGUUGCUUCGGCGGGAUUGCCUCGGGAGCGGCACGCCCCGGGCCCGCCGAGGGACCCCAGACUCUUGUCUUUUUUUUUUCCAGCGGAUUUAUCUGAGUGGCUCUUGAGCAAAAACAAAAUGAAUCAAAACUUUCAACAACGGAUCUCUUGGUUCUGGCAUCGAUGAAGAACGCAGCGAAAUGCGAUAAGUAAUGUGAAUUGCAGAUUUCAGUGAAUCAUCGAAUCUUUGAACGCACAUUGCGCCCGCCAGUAUUCUGGCGGGCAUGCCUGUUCGAGCGUCAUUUCAACCCUCGAGCCCCUACGGGGGCUUGGUGUUGGGGAGCGGCCCCGCCCCUCUGCGGGCUGCCGUCCUCGAAAUACAGUGGCGGUCUCGCCGCAGCCUCCUCUGCGUAGUAGCUUGAAACCUCGCACCGGAGUGCGGCGUGGCCACGCCGUUAAGCCUUAGCUUCCUCAAAGGUUGACCUCGGAUCAGGUAGGGAUACCCGCUGAACUUAAGCAUAUCAAUAAGCGGAGGA
rnacentral:rRNA from 1 species